AUUUUCUUAUUAGUAUAAAAAUUACAUUUAGUUUCCACCUAAAAAAUCUUUUCAAGAUAAGAAA
rnacentral:tRNA from 1 species